rnacentral:rRNA from 1 species
AACGAACGCUGGCGGCAUGCCUAACACAUGCAAGUCGAACGAGACCUUCGGGUCUAGUUGCGCACGGGUGCGUAACGCGUGGGAACCUGCCCUUAGGUUCGGAAUAACUCCUCGACAGGGGUGCUAAUGCCGGAUAAUGUCUUCGGACCAAAGAUUUAUCGUCUUUGGAUGGGCCCGCGUUGGAUUAGCUAGUUGGUAGUGUAAAAGCCUACCAAGGCGACGAUCCAUAGCUGGUCUGAGAGGAUGAUCAGCCACACUGGGACUGAGACACGGCCCAGACUCCUACGGGAGGCAGCAGUGGGGAAUAUUGGACAAUGGGCGAAAGCCUGAUCCAGCAAUGCCGCGUGAGUGAUGAAGGCCUUAGGGUUGUAAAGCUCUUUUACCCGGGAUGAUAAUGACAGUACCGGGAGAAUAAGCUCCGGCUAACUCCGUG